rnacentral:rRNA from 1 species
CNNCCUACNCAUAAGCCCCCCCUGGGAGACGCCCGCANGUUNAACNCAAANAAUUGACNGGGGCCCNCCCAAGGGUGGAGCNUNUGGUUNAUUCGNAGCAACGCGAAGAGCCUUCCAGGUCUUGACAUCCCUCUGACCGCUCUAGAGAUAGAGCUUNCUUCGGGACAGAGGUGACAGGUGGUGCAUGGUUGUCGUCAGCUCGUGUCGUGAGAUGUUGGGUUAAGUCCCCGCAACGAGCGCAACCCCUAUUGUUAGUUGCCAUCAUUCAGUUGGGCACUCUAGCGAGACUGCCGGUAAUAAACCGGAGGAAGGUGGGGAUGACGUCAAAUCAUCAUGCCCCUUAUGACCUGGGCUACACACGUGCUACAAUGGCUGGUACAACGAGUCGCAAGCCGGUGACGGCAAGCUAAUCUCUUAAAGCCAGUCUCAGUUCGGAUUGUAGGCUGCAACUCGCCUACAUGAAGUCGGAAUCGCUAGUANUCGCGGAUCAGCACGCCGCGGUGAAUACGUUCCCGGGCCUUGUACACACCGCCCGUCACACCACGAGAGUUUGUAACACCCGAAGUCGGUGAGGUAACCGUAAGGAGCCAGCCGCCUAAGGUGGGAUAGAUGAUUGGGGUGAAGUCGUAACAAGGUAGCCA